CUCACUCCCACGGUGCACUCCCCCGUCCGCCCGCCCGCCGCCCUGCCAACAGCCCCAAGUCUGUUUCCAGGAAGAGCCUCCCAGCUGUGAAAGAAAAGAACUUUAGUUCUUUCCCAACCUGAGAAGUCUGCAAGCUGGAUUUGCGCCCUCCCCCGAGUUCUGGUCAGGAGGCUUCUCACCCUGUUCACCCUGUUCAAGUUGUUACAAAGUUCAGCUAGAGAAUUCUUCUCCCUGUGGAGUUUUACCCCCUGCGACUCUGGCCACUCACCUGAUGGAUCCCUGUGGUUCCAGGCAGGAAUGGGCUGCUUGGGGUCCCAGCAAACUCCCAGGGCCUUUCUGCUUCUUCCUCUACCCCUGUAUUUCACUUGACUCAGCUCUCUAACUUGACUCAGCUCCAGGAGCAGUCUGCUUCCUUCACAGAGACUGUGGAUCCUCUCAGGAUUGCUUGUUUGUUCUUGCAGUUGUUCUGGAGCUAAAAUUCACAACGCAAACCUCCACAUGCUGCUCUGUCUGGAGCUGCAAUCUAAUCCUGCUUCCCAUCUGCCUUGAUCCUGCAAAAAAGGAAUACUACUUUUUCCUUUUCAAUUUGGAUGCCUUUUAUUUCUUUUUCUUGUCUGAUUGGUGGAAAAGUUUUCAGUUUUUCACUGUUGAUUAUGAUGUUAGCUGUGAGUUUUUCAUAAAUGGCUUUUAUUAUGUCAAGAAACUUUCCUUCUACACGUAAACAGUCAAGAGUUGUUAUCAAGAAACAAUGUUGAACCUUGUCAAAUGCUUUCUCUGUGUCAAAUGAGAUGAUUAUGUGGUUCUUAUCUUUCAUUCUGUUAAAGGGAUGUGUCACACUGAUUGAUCUGCAUAUGUUAAAUCAGCUUUGCAUGCCAGGGAUAAAUCCAACUUGGUCAUGAUGUGUAAUCUUUUUGAUGUGUUGUUGAAUUUGGUUUGCUAAUAUUUUAUUGAAGAUUUUUGUAUCAAUGCUCCAUGAUAGCCUGUUAUGCGACCACUUAACAGGGUGCAUUAGAACUAUAGUAGUGGUCCAGGAGUCAUUUUCACAAGUUAUUUUUUGGUAAAAGAAGAUAAAGAUAAAUGUGUAAGAUAUGAUCCAAAUAAUAGAAAAUGCUGACAAAAAAACCAAUACUAUAUAUGUGAGUGAUGUAUGUGUCUCUAUUUAUAUUUACAUAUGAGCAUAAAAAGGACACAUAACACAUACCAAUUUAUUAACCUAGGUUACCCGCAGAAGGGCUGGGGCUGAGUAUAGGGGCCGUUGUAAGCAGAGGGUUGAAGAGGAGAGGGGAAAGCCAAGCAAAAUGGGGACUGUUCUAAAAAUAUGUAAAAAAUGGUGAUAUAUAGGGGCGGGUAUGAUGGCUCACGCCUGUAAUCCCAGCACUUCGGGAGACCAAGGUGGGUGGAUCACCGGAGGUCAGGAGUUUGAUACCAGCCUGACCAACAUGGUAAAACCCCGUCUCUACUAAAAUACAAAAAUUAUCCGGCCGUGGUGGCAUGUGCCUGUAAUCCCAGCUACUCGGGAGGCUGAGGCAGGAGAAUCACUUGCACCCAGGAGGCACAGGUUACAGUGAGCUGAGAUCGCAUCAUUGCACUCAGGCCUGGGCAACAAGAGAGAAGCUGCAUCUCAAAAAAAAAAAAAAAAAAAGAAUAUAUAUAUAUAUAUAUAUAUAUACACACACACACACACACACACACACGUAUAUAUAUAGUGAUAUGCAUGUAAAAUUGUGAGUGUAUAUACAAAUAAAUUUGUAAUAAAAAUUUCUAAAAUAGAAAAGUGUAGGAGUAUGCACAAGUGGGAGAGAUAACAUUUGAACUGGCUGAAUCACUGCAGUGUUGUGAUGAACAUAUUGGUUUGAACGUAUUGAAACCAGUCUGGUGGCAAGACCUGGAACUCUCCUCUUGGCCCCGUUCUCAUUAUCUUGGUCAUAAUAGGGGAAAGAUGUGGAAAUCAUGUUGAUUACACUUGCAGGUAAAAGAAAGAAAGAUGGGAUAACUUUUUAUGUUUGAAAACAGAAAUAAAAUGUAAAACAAGCCAGAAGAUUUAGCCCAAAGCUAUUAAGUGAACAUUAAUCAAGAUAAAGUUCUGUCUCUAGUUUUAAAUACAUCCAUUUACCUAAACUAUUUGUGUGGGAAUGAUCAGUUUCUUGUGCGUAAGUUCCAUUAAGUCACUGGCUUUGUCUUAUUUAUCUUUAAGCCCUGACUACCCACUACCCAGCACAGUGCCUGGCCCAUAAUCUAUUCUGGACAGAGACCAGAGAGGAUCUGAUGGGAUGGUAGAAGGUGAUGAGAUGGAACACAAAAGCAGUGUGUACAAAGAGAAGGAAGGACAAACCCGAGGGGCACCAUGAUGCCAGAUUCUAUGCCAGGGGUACCUUGAACUCCUGAGAACCCUGGGAUGUAGGUGAUAUUAGAUCUACUUUGCAGAUGAAGAAACUAGGGGUAAAACUGGAUUUGAACCCCAGGUUUGCCCGACUUCAAAUUUUCCCCCAGGAAACUGGUAGGACAGCAAGUAUUAUUUUAGAUCAUAGACACUUAGAGCUGGGAAAUCCCAGGCGCCAGAAGCCAGGGUGGGCUGGGGCCCGGCAGCGGAGCUCUGGGCACACUCCAGCUGUCACUUUCAACCACAGCAGCUUUGCUUCAUUCUUUUUUCCUUGUUCUUUGUAAGAUUCUUUUUUCUUUGUAAGAUUUCAUUUGAAUAAAGAAUUCCCUGGCUGAAAAGAAGAAGCUUAAAAUCAUUAUGUAUGUCAUCCAUCCUGCCUCAGUCUUCAUUAUAGAAAUAAGAAAGAUAAGGUCCAGAGAAGGGAUUGAUACACAUGGUCCAGCUAGGGCUGGCCCCAGAACACCACCAGACUGGGCUUCUCCUGAUACCUGAGCCCCUGGCCUGGAGUUUUCCUAGAGAGGUUGUUGUCAGGGGAAAGCCCCCACAAAGCUGCUGCCUCUCCACUCCUCAGCCAGGCUUGCCCAGUGCCUCACUCCCACAGGCCAUCAGUCUUCUUUUCUUGGUCGUCCUUUUGGGGAGGGCCAAGAGCUUGAAGGGAGCCUCUCGGGCCUGUCAAUCUUUCUUCAAGUGCAUCUGCUUUUCCAG
rnacentral:lncRNA from 1 species